rnacentral:tRNA from 1 species
GCCUGAGUGGCUCAGUUGGUUGAGCACUUGACUUCGGCUCAGGCCAUGAUCUCAUGGUUCAUGGGUUUGAGCCCCAAGUCGGGCU